rnacentral:lncRNA from 1 species
UUUUUUUUUUUUUUUUUUUUUUUUAAUUCCUUUUGACUACUCCUAGGCCAGUCUCCUAUUAUGUUAUUGCCCUAGCUUUUAAUAAAUUCUAAUGAAAGAUAUGAAUAGUCAUUUGUCAGAAUUUUCUUGAUUGGUUCCACCUAUCUUUCUUCUUAUGAAAUUCAGAAUUAUCUCCUAAAUCAGACACAAAUAAGUGUUUGGUCUUUUUAUUGGGUUUAUAUUGGAUUUAUAGGUUAAUUUAGAAAGAUAUAUCUUACAAUUUUGAGUCUGCCUAUGCAAGAAUAAGAUACCACAUGUAAGUCUUUGUUCACCCAUCAUUUUCCUCUCGUCCCAAGUCCUGAGAAUUUUACAGUAAGCUUAUUCUAUAUUUUAUAUUUUCUUAUUUCUACUGAAUAGGGUCCUUUUGCCAUUAUCUAUUUUAUAUUAGUCAUACUCAGAAAAAAACAUAGUUUUGUAUGACAAUACUGUAGUUAAUUACCUAUUGAGUUAUCUUUUUAGCUUAUUGUUGCUAGAAUGUUGUUGAAACAACACAUUAUCCAUUUUGAAAAAAAAAACAAAAACACCUCAUAUUAUUCACCAGAACAAAUUAAGUCAAAUGAGUCAAAAUUAAAAACUUAAUUAGGAGUGUAUUCUUUUCUCUUUAUUUAAAAUGAAGCUACUUAAGUUCAGCAAAGUUAAGGAACUUGCCUAAAAUCACACAGAUAGUAAAUGGCAGAGCCAAGAUGUCUGUGUGACACUAAUGUUUUAAACAAUUGUAUCUAUUUUUCUAUUUUAAAAGUCUCAUCUCUAUUCCUGGGAUUAAUCUCCAUCUUGUCUACCACUACUAGACACUAGCUCCUGAAAAAAGCCAAUGCUGAUUACCUGCUCACCUGCCUGGAACUCUGAACAAAGCUUCUGUCCCAGUUCCCAAUUGUCUACUGUCCUCUACUUUCCUCUCUCUCCUGAGGUUCAUUGUGUUUUGCUUGGCAUGAUUACUAGAUUUUCAUAUUGCAAAAAUAACAGAGAAUAGGUCAUUUACAUGCAAAGUUGGAUAAGAAAACGCAAACUUUCUUACCUCCAUUAUUUUGAAUUUUGUUACAAAAGCACCUUUGACUGGUAGAUAAGCUAUCCGUGAACUUGCAGAAUGAUGAAUGGCUGGUGACCUUCUCAAGGAUUAGAAGAUCUUCUAAGAGUACAUUAAUUUCUAAACAGGUGAGAGAUUUAAUUCCUUUGGAUCACAUUACAUAGGAUUCCAAGCUAUUCUACCCCAUACUUCCAUAUUCUGGCUAUAGAAUUACAUUGAAAUUACAUGUGGCCAGCAUGAGGUUCAGGCAGAUAAGGUGAUAUAAUGCAGGGGCUGCCUGUGUGGUGAGAUCUGACAGGUUGCCAAGCAGGAUAAAUUGCCUCAAAGAUAUCAAACUUUAAAGCUUAAUUAUUUUCCCAUUAAGACUUCUUUUACAAUGCAAAUAUUAAUGCAAACAGUUAUACCUUUUAUCAGCUAAUGUCUUAAUCUUCAAUGAACACCUACGGGACUUGUCAGCCUGCUGGUAAUCAGGAGAGGUAGUUGCUGAAAGAGGUUCUGGGGAAUGGGUAGGAUUGGAUUGGAAGAAGAAGACACUCUUAGAGGAAGGGGGUUUGUGCACAGCUCAGAUAUACUGAAUCUGCUCUGGCUUGGUUUGUCUAAAUGUUGGAGGUAACACUGAGACAGAAAAUCAUUCUCAGGAAUAUCUAAGUCUUGGUGUGAAAGAGUUGCAAAUAGGGAUAAAAAGGUCACGGCUUAUGGCACUUAUAAAUGAGCCAGUCUUGGAAUAGGUAUAAAACACACCAGAAGUCUUUGGGUUCAUUUGAGGUCAUGCUAGGUGAUCUUUUAAACUUGCUGAUCCAUAUCUUGAUGAGAGCAAUCAUAUCCAGGUUUUCAGAAGAUAAUUGGGUAAAUUCUGAGCAGGAGGUCUUGGAAUGUCUUCAAAAAAUCACUAGGCUCUCAAAUCUCCUCAGCCCCCUUCUGCCUUGGAUACUAUUCUAAAAUAUUGCUGGUUUCCAGAAGGCUAAAGCUGAUUACAUCAAUAUCUCUACAUUUACUGAUGUGGAGUAAUACCUUGCAAUUUCAAAGUGAAAAAAAGUUACACACCUCAAAACACCACCUAUCUACAGAUGGUUUCACCUGAAGGGACACUUAGCAGUGGCUCUUGGGCGACACUGUCUGACCUGCAGUGUUCAGGGGCAAAGUUGACCACAGGAAGAUGUGAAGGCAGAAAAGGAUGAGGAGGAAGUCGUGCCCCAGAUAAGAAGGUAAUGGAAGGGGGGGAUGGGGGGGGUCACAGGAAGAAAUGCAGUAAAUCAGAUCUCGGGGAAGUAUAAGAGCAGGGAGAAAAUGCUAUCAGAAUUACAACAGCCUAGGAGUUCCCUGGUAGCUCAAUGGGUUAAGGAUCCUGCUUUAUCACUGCUGUGGCAUAAAUUUGAUUCCUGGCCCAGAAAAUAGCUUCCACAUGCCCUGGGCAUGUGGGAAAAAAAAAUUAUAAUAGCCUAGCACAGACUCACAGAUAACUACAAAAUCAGCCUGUUGGCUGUCAGGACAGAGAGGUUCGUUUUAGUUGGUUGAACCUAAGCCUAUUCACAAAAAGACUUGAUCUGGAUAUGACAUAAAAUAACCAUGCUAAU